UACGGAGGGUGCAAGCGUUAUCCGGAUUCAUUGGGCGUAAAGGGUGUGUAGGUGGCGCCGUAAGUCGGGUGUGAAAUUUCGGAGCUUAACUCCGAAACUGCAUUCGAUACUGCGGUGCUUGAGGACUGGAGAGGAGACUGGAAUUCAUGGUGUAGCAGUGAAAUGCGUAGAGAUCAUGAGGAAGACCAGUGGCGAAGGCGGGUCUCUGGACAGUUCCUGACACUGAGACACGAAGGCCAGGGGAGCAAACGGG
rnacentral:rRNA from 1 species